UACGUAGGGUGCAAGCGUUGUCCGGAAUUAUUGGGCGUAAAGAGCUCGUAGGCGGUUUGUCGCGUCGGCUGUGAAAACUCGGGGCUCAACCCCGAGCCUGCAGUCGAUACGGGCAGACUAGAGUGCGGUAGGGGAGACUGGAAUUCCUGGUGUAGCGGUGGAAUGCGUAGAGAUCGGGAAGAACACCAGUGGCGAAGGCGGUCUGCUGGGCCGUUGCUGACGCUGAGGCGCGACAGCGUGGGGAGCAAACAGG
rnacentral:rRNA from 1 species